rnacentral:rRNA from 1 species
UACGGAAGGCAGCAGUGGGGAAUAUUGCACAAUGGGCGCAAGCCUGAUGCAGCCAUGCCGCGUGUAUGAAAAAGGCCUUCGGGUUGUAAAGUACUUUCAGUCGUGAGGAAGGUGUUAAGGUUAAUAACCUUAGCAAUUGACGUUAGCGACAGAAGAAGCACCGGCUAACUCCGUGCCAGCAGCCGCGGUAAUACGGAGGGUGCGAGCGUUAAUCGGAAUUACUGGGCGUAAAGGGCACGCAGGCGGUUAAUUAAGUUGGAUGUGAAAUCCCCGGGCUUAACCUGGGAAUGGCAUUCAAGACUGGUUAGCUAGAGUCUUGUAGAGGGGGUUAGAAGUUCCAUGUGUAGCGGUGAAAUGCGUAGAGAUGUGGAGGAAUACCGGUGGCGAAGGCGGCCCCUGGACAAAGACUGACGCUCAUGUGCGAAAGCGUGGGGAGCGAAACAGGGAUUAGAUACC